ensembl:snRNA
AUGUUGUAUGAAAAGAGAGAAGAUUAUCACUCCCCUUGACAAGGAUGGAAGAGGCCCUCGGGCCUGACAAUACAUUUGAUAACUUAAAUAUGUAUUUUU